rnacentral:rRNA from 1 species
GACGUAGGGCGCGAGCGUUGUCCGGAUUUAUUGGGCGUAAAGAGCGUGUAGGCGGCCCGAUUAGUCCGCUGUGAAAGUCCAAGGGCUCAACCCUGGAAUGCCGGUGGAUACUGUCGGGCUAGAGUCCGGAAGGGGCGAGUGGAAUUCCGUGGUGUAGCGGUGAAAUGCGCAGAUAUCAGGAGGAACACCCAUGGCGAAGGCAGCUCGCUGGACGUGA